rnacentral:rRNA from 1 species
CCUACGGGCGGCAGCAGUCGAGAAUCAUUCACAAUGGGGGAAACCCUGGUGGUGCGACGCCGCGUGGGGGAAUGAAGGUCUUCGGAUUGUAAACCCCUGUCAUGUGGGAGCAAAUUAAAAAGAUAGUACCACAAGAGGAAGAGACGGCUAACUCUGUGCCAGCAGCCGCGGUAAUACAGAGGUCUCAAGCGUUGUUCGGAAUCACUGGGCGUAAAGCGUGCGUAGGCUGUUUCGUAAGUCGUGUGUGAAAGGCGCGGGCUCAACCCGCGGACGGCACAUGAUACUGCGAGACUAGAGUAAUGGAGGGGGAACCGGAAUUCUCGGUGUAGCAGUGAAAUGCGUAGAUAUCGAGAGGAACACUCGUGGCGAAGGCGGGUUCCUGGACAUUAACUGACGCUGAGGCACGAAGGCCAGGGGAGCGAAAGGGAUUAGAUACCCUAGUAGUC